AUAAUGAUACUUCUGUCCAGUCACAGUCCGAGCGUGAUAAAACCGUCGCAGGCAAUGAGGGCAGCUCGGUGGAAACGGAGUGGUGAGAUUCCAAUGA
rnacentral:ncRNA from 1 species